UCAGUAUCCUUCACAGGAAGACAUCAUUAUUCAUGCCAAGGUGGUGGGGGAAACUCUUCCUGUCUGUAACAGAAGGCAGUGAAAUAUGAAGUGAUAGAGUAAAACCCUGUUUCUCUACACCUGAUUUCCUGCUCUGGGUUGCUUGCAAAGUCAGGUCAAGAUCUGAACACUGAUUCACUGAGAGGCUACUAGUGAUGUCCACAAAAAAGAAACACCAUCUCAGGAACUAUUACUGAGUGGAAGUAUUGCAAGUGCCAUCAGCUCUAGUCAUCACGUGCAUGAUGUAUGCUUUGCCUCACAGCAACCUGAGAAGGAGCAUCAAGAGAGGUGCUAACAACACAUC